rnacentral:rRNA from 1 species
GCAGAGUAACUGUUGUCGGCGUGACGGUAUCCAACCAGAAAGCCACGGCUAACUACGUGCCAGCAGCCGCGGUAAUACGUAGGUGGCAAGCGUCCGGAUUUAUUGGGCGUAAAGCGAGCGCAGGCGGUUUUAGUCUGAUGUGAAAGCCCUCGGCUUAACCGAGGAAGCGCAUCGGAAACUGGGAAACUUGAGUGCAGAAGAGGACAGUGGAACUCCAUGUGUAGCGGUGAAAUGCGUAGAUAUAUGGAAGAACACCAGUGGCGAAGGCGGCUGUCUGGUCUGUAACUGACGCUGAGGCUCGAAAGCAUGGGUAGCGAACAGGAGAUACCCUGGUAGUCCAUGCCGUAAACGAUGAAUGCUAGGUGUUGGAGGGUUUCCGCCCUGUGCCGCAGACGCAUUAAGCAUUCCGCCUGGGGAGUACGACCGCAAGGUUGAAACUCAAAGGAAUUGACGGGGGCCCGCACAAGCGGUGGAGCAUGUGGUUUAAUUCGAAGCAACGCGAAGAACCUUACCAGGUCUUGACAUCUUUUGAUCACCUGAGAGAUCAGGUUUCCCCUUCGGGGGCAAAAUGACAGGUGGUGCAUGGUUGUCGUCAGCUCGUGUCGUGAGAUGUUGGGAGUCCCGCAACGAGCGCAACCCUUAUGACUAGUUGCCAGCAUGUUGGGCACUCUAGUAAGACUGCCGGUGACAAACCGGAGGAAGGUGGGGAUGACGUCAAAUGACCUGGGCACACGUGCUACAAUGGAUGGUACAACGAGUUGCGAGACCGCGAGGUCAAGAUCUCUUAAAGCCAUUCUCAGUUCGGACUGUAGGCUGCAACUCGCCACGAAGUCGGAAUCGCUAGUAAUCG